GUCCCUUCGGGGACAUCUGAUAAAAUUGAAACGAUAUAAAGAAGAUUGACAUGCCUCCUGCUCAAGGAUGACACAUACAAAUUGAGAAAUGAUCCAAAUUUUU